rnacentral:rRNA from 1 species
ACGUUAGGAAAGCGAGCGGCGGAUGGGUGAGUAACACGUGGGGAACCUGCCCCAUAGUCUGGGAUACCACUUGGAAACAGGUGCUAAUACCGGAUAAGAAAGCAGAUCGCAUGAUCAGCUUUUAAAAGGCGGCGUAAGCUGUCGCUAUGGGAUGGCCCCGCGGUGCAUUAGCUAGUUGGUAAGGUAAAGGCUUACCAAGGCGAUGAUGCAUAGCCGAGUUGAGAGACUGAUCGGCCACAUUGGGACUGAGACACGGCCCAAACUCCUACGGGAGGCAGCAGUAGGGAAUCUUCCACAAUGGACGCAAGUCUGAUGGAGCAACGCCGCGUGAGUGAAGAAGGUUUUCGGAUCGUAAAGCUCUGUUGUUGGUGAAGAAGGAUAGAGGUAGUAACUGGCCUUUAUUUGACGGUAAUCAACCAGAAAAGUCACGGCUAACUACGUGCC